AUUGAACGCUGGCGGCAUGCCUUACACAUGCAAAUCGAACGGUAACGGGCCUUCGGGUGCCGACGAGUGGCGAACGGGUGAGUAAUACAUCGGAACGUGCCCGAUCGUGGGGGAUAACGAGGCGAAAGCUUUGCUAAUACCGCAUACGAUCUACGGAUGAAAGCAGGGGACCGCAAGGCCUUGCGCGGACGGAGCGGCCGAUGGCAGAUUAGGUAGUUGGUGGGAUAAAAGCUUACCAAGCCGACGAUCUGUAGCUGGUCUGAGAGGAUGAUCAGCCACACUGGGACUGAAAAACGGCCAAGACCCCUAGGGGAGGGAGCAGUGGGGAAUUUGGGAAAAGGGGGGAAAGCCUGAUCCAGCCAUGCCGGGGGGAGGAAGAAGGCUUGCGGGUUGUAAACUGAUUUUGGAGGGAAAAAAAAGCCUUUUUUUAAAACAGGGGGGUCAUGACGGUACCGUAAAAAUAAGCACCGGCUAACUACGU
rnacentral:rRNA from 1 species